GAUGAACGCUGGCGGCGUGCCUAAUACAUGCAAGUCGAACGCAUAGCGAAAGGUGCUUGCCCCUUUCAAGUGAGUGGCGAACGGGGGAGUAACACGUGGACAACCUGCCUCAAGGCUGGGGAUAACAUUUGGAAACAGAUGCUAAUACCGAAUAAAACUUAGUGUCGCAUGACACAAAGUUAAAAGGCGCUUCGGCGUCACCUAGAGAUGGAUCCGCGGUGCAUUAGUUAGUUGGUGGGGUAAAGGCCUACCAAGACAAUGAUGCAUAGCCGAGUUGAGAGACUGAUCGGCCACAUUGGGACUGAGACACGGCCCAAACUCCUACGGGAGGCUGCAGUAGGGAAUCUUCCACAAUGGGCGAAAGCCUGAUGGAGCAACGCCGCGUGUGUGAUGAAGGCUUUCGGGUCGUAAAGCACUGUUGUAUGGGAAGAACAGCUAGAAUAGGAAAUGAUUUUAGUUUGACGGUACCAUACCAGAAAGGGACGGCUAAAUACGUG
rnacentral:rRNA from 1 species